rnacentral:rRNA from 1 species
UACAGAGGGGGCGAGCGUUGUUCGGAAUUACUGGGCGUAAAGGGCGCGUAGGCGGCCUUCUAAGUCGAACGUGAAAUCCCCGGGCUCAACCCGGGAACUGCGUCCGAUACUGGAAGGCUUGAAUCCGGGAGAGGGAUGCGGAAUUCCAGGUGUAGCGGUGAAAUGCGUAGAUAUCUGGAGGAACACCGGUGGCGAAGGCGACAUCCUGGACCGGUAUUGACGCUGAGGCGCGAAAGCCAGGGGAGCAAACGGG